rfam:Triticum aestivum genome assembly, contig: Triticum_aestivum_CS42_TGACv1_scaffold_556412_7AL
AAUGUACUCCUUCCGUUUUAAAUUACUUGUUUUGAAUUUGUCUACAUACGGAGGUAUCUAGAAUUACUUGUCUUGGAUUUAUCUAGAUACGGAGGUAUCUAGCACAUACCUCCGUAUCUAGACAAAUCCAAGACAAGUAAUUCAAAACGGAGGGAGUAGGUA